rnacentral:rRNA from 1 species
CCCUUAGAUGUCCGGGGCUGCACGCGCGCUACACUGAAGGAAUCAGCGUGCUAAAACCAUUGUCGAAAGGCAUUGGUAAACCCAUUAAAAUCCUACGUGAUUGGGAUCGGGAAUUGCAAUUAUUUCCCUUGAACGAGGAAUUCCCAGUAAGUGUGGGUCAUAAGCUCGCGUUGAUUACGUCCCUGCCCUUUGUACACACCGCCCGUCGCUGCCCGGGACUGAGCCGUUUCGAGAAAAGCGGGGACUGCCGCUGUCGGGGCUUUCGGGCCUUGGCUUCGGUGGAAACCGCUUUAAUCGCAGUGGCUUGAACCGGGCAAAAGUCGUAACA